AUUUGUACAUGUUGCCUCUUUUUUGUGCAGUUAGUAAGACGUUUAAAUGAAAACAAUGAAAAAUAUAUCGACUAGAGUUAUUAAAAAAACAUGUAGAAAGAUGGUUUUGAUGCUACGAGGUCUUUUAAAGUUAGCAUGUUGACCUGCUAGCACCGUUUGCUAGCUAGCUCAGCUAGUCACGCAGUUAGCUGUUUGGUGCGCGGGUUUAGGUCUUUAACGAAAACUUUUACAGGUUGCGUCUUUAAAGGUGCAAUAUACAACUUAACUAAACUAUAUGAAGUAAAAGUGUCAACAGAACAUUAAGAAACGUCAGUUCUGACAUCAUGACGUCUUUUUAUUGUUAUGCUGAGAUUAUCAACUGACGUUAGCAUGCUAACUAUCUAGCAACGGCCAUUCUAGAACUGAAGCGCUCCUAACUCCCUGUCUGUACUGCUAGCCGCAUAGCUAACUAAGCUAGCAAGCUAAAGGCACCGUUAGCAGUUGCUAUGGUGAUAUGCUGCCCCACAUUUGUUUUGAUUAUUAGUUAUUUCUCACAUAUUGCACCUUUAAAGCGACACUUCCAGCUCAGGUCAGACACCAAACAGGAAGGUAUCUUCCAUCGGGUGAGGUCGCCACCGCCUUGGUCUCCACGUCCUCUUUCUCCUCCUGCUCCCACUGAGUAUCAAACGUGAUGCGGGACAAGACCUUGUGCUGUUUGUGCUGGAGUUCAUUGUCAGACUCGGAGCUGGCGUCCUGGGGGCUUGAUCUCUGGACGGGCUCCCAG